GGUGGCUCAGUGGUAGAGUGCUUGCCUUGCAUCCAUGAGGCCCUGAGUUUGAUUCCUCAGCACCA
rnacentral:tRNA from 1 species